GCCUUUUCUUUUCUCUUUCUUUCAAACGACACAAUAGAAUUUUUUUUCCUAAAGUUGUAUUAGGGAUUCACUUAAGCAGAAAUGAACUGUAAUAUGCAAAUAGUUCUAAUUGGACUGCUAAUAGAGCGUGUCUCUGUUGUUUUUUUGUACGGAGUUUUAUGCCUAUGUAAUCAGUGCAGACAGCCGUUAAGUAAAUGAAGAGGCAACUAACAAUGUCAGAAAAGAGACCGGGCGGUUCCGGCUGACACUACCCUAAUCUUCCAGGACCCAUUAAAUGGCAGUUUCAACGCAUUACCUACCAUAACAUCCUUGAAUAUCACUGAUUUUAUUUGCAGUAUCAAACAUUCCAUUUCAUGCCCCAUUAACAGUGGGAGCCUGAGCUUUUUGACGCAGCUAAACAUUUUACUAACUACCUGGACUAAGUAACCAAUUAACUUUUGGAGACAAUACGGCCAAUUAAGCGCGAAAAGGUAAGGCUGUCAUCCCCCACGAAAAUUGAAUUUCCUUUUCCUGAUGGCACUUAUUGUCACCGUUCAAUUGUUAAUGGAGAUUCGAUCCCUAUUAAAGUAUGAAGGCAAAGCAGAAUGGAAAAGUUCAGAGGACUUGGUUCCCGAAGAGUAGGUCACAAAGUGUCCCAACUGGCCACUAAUUCAGUUAACUUUUCUUCAUGCCAGAUUACUUAUUGGAUGUGACUGGAACAGGCCUCUAAUAUGACAGUCUGUGAUAGUACAUUGCACAAUCUGGUAGCUUGCGAGGAACCCACAGGCCCAGGGCGGUAGUUUGGGACCUUGUAUCGGAGGUUGAGGAGGAAAAAAAGUUAUUCGUUUUUAUUUUUGUUUUUGUUUUUUUGACAGCAGAAAUAUCAGCAUCUGACAAGAUAGUGCCCUGGUUAUCGCUGGCUUGGACUCCUCAGAGAGAAAAACAAAUCCAUGUAUGGAGAGGGGUGAAACUGAUUUACCUGAUGAAUGAUGAGCCUGGCAGGAGUAAUUGAGCCCACCUGGCUCAGCUGCUUCCUGGUUUUCCGGCAAAGGACUUACACUCUACUGACCUGGCAGUUCACUUAGCAGAGAAGGCCUUGUCCUCACCAGAAACUCCCUGGUUUCCAGUGCUGUCUGUCACAGAGUGGUGAGUUGAAUUUGGAGAAGAGCCACUUGGCUACCAGACCUAAGGCAGCCUUCUCCCAUCUAACCGGAAUAAAGGUAAUAUUUUGACCUCCA